rnacentral:rRNA from 1 species
AUGGUGGAGAGAAGGCACUGGCAUAUUGAUGAUGGGAUACAAUGUCUACUCUGCCCAACUCAGUCUUGGGAGUAUAGAGACCAUCUUUUCUUCACAUGUAAUUUCAGUUAGCGUAUAUGGAACUACUUGCAGAUUGAUUGGGGUUUGGGCACUACUAUGUCUGAAAUUGCUGUACACGCUAGGAGGGAUUUUGCCAAACCUUUCUUUGCUGAGGUGGGCUUUACUGCAUGCUGGAAUAUCUGGUUGAUAAGGAAUGGAAAGGUGUUCAGGAAGGAAAGGCCAAGUUUUAACCAUUGGAGGGGUGCUUUUAUUCAUGAUAUGUCUCUGCUUGCUCAUCGAAUCAAUCCUAGGCUCAGGGAUGAUCUAGUUAGGUGGGUGACUUACCUGCCCCCUUGA